UUGUAGUUUAUAAAAUAAGGAGUCGGACCUGCCCGGUGAAAAUUUUUAACGGCCGCGGUACUCUGACCGUGCAAAGGUAGCAUAAUCAUUUGCCUUAUAAUUGAAGGCUAGUAUGAAUGGUUUGACAAGAAUGUAGCUGUCUCUUUACAAUUUAAUAGAAUUUUAUUUUUAGGUGAAAAAGCCUUAAUUGGAUUAAAAGACAAGAAGACCCUAUCGAGCUUAAAAGGAGUUAGUAGAUGUAAGUUUCUAUUUUUAAAAAUAUGGCUAUUAUAUAUUUUGGUUGGGGCGACUGAGGAACAUAUAAAGCUUCCUUUAAAUAUGAUUUACAUACAAGUAUUUGAUCCAUAGUUAGUGAUUAAAGAAAUUAGUUACCGUAGGGAUAACAGCAUUAUCCUUUUUGAGAGUUCUAAUCGAAAAAAGGGUUUGUGACCUCGAUGUUGGACCAGAAUGUCCUGAAGGUGCAGAAGUCUUUAAGGGUUGGUCUGUUCGACCAUUAAAAUUCUA
rnacentral:rRNA from 1 species